rnacentral:rRNA from 1 species
CAAGUUAUUAAGAGCUAUUGGUGGAUGCCUUGGCAUUGACAGGCGAUGAAGGAUGCGUUUACCUGCAGUAAUCUUCGGCGAGCUGGUAUAAAGCUAUGACCCGGAGGUCUCCGAAUGGGGCAACCCGGUAGAUUAAUCAUCUACCAUUAUACGUUGAAUACAUAGACGUAUAAGGCGACACCUGCUGAACUGAAACAUCUUAGUAAGCAGAGGAAAAUAAAUCAAAGAGAUUCCCUGAGUAGCGGCGAGCGAAAGGGGAGAAGACCAAACCACAUUUUUAAUGUGGGGUUGUAGGGUCGAUAACAUGGGAUCUUAAGUUUUAGUUGAAUACUUCUGGAAAGUAGAACGAUACAGGGUGAUAGUCCCGUAGACGAAAAAACAAGAGACUCUAUUCGAUACCUGAGUAGGGCUAGACACGUGAAACCUAGUCUGAAUCUGGGGAGACCACUCUCCAAGUCUAAAUACUAGUCAAUGACCUAUAGUGAACCAGUACUGUGAAGGAAAGGUGAAAAGAACCCUUGUUAAGGGAGUGAAAUAGAACCUGAAACCAGUAGCUUAUAAGCGGUCGAAGACCUAUAACUUCUUAGGAAGUCAUGGUUGACGGCGUGCCUUUUGCAUGAUGAGCCAGGGAGUUAAGUUAAACGGCGAGGUUAAGGGAUCUACAUUCCGGAGCCGAAGCGA